UGUGUGUGUGGGCCUGUGUGCGUUUCGCCACAUAGUUAACCUGUGAAUUGAAAGCUCGUUAUUCCCCAGACGUUGGAUAUCCACAAUAUGCUUUCAAUUCUCCACAUGCUGCUGUGGACCGGUGAGGAUUUGCUGCCACCUCUUUUAACUACCCACACUGGACCACACAUCAUGGUCAAUAAGAUUUCCAUCACUUGCUCUCCUUUAUCUGUAAGUUGGCUGUGCUUGAAGUACCAGUUUUUUGCAUUGUUCAAACAUUGGGUGCCAACUCUCAGGGAAAAUUCACCCAAAAAAAUACAUCUAUAUAUAUAUAUAUAUGAAGCAGCACAAUGCAUAGGGGGAAAGGAGACUGUCCUUUAGGUCUAUACACUACACUACAGCUAUUUUUCAAUCAAAUUUUAGACACAUUAAAUUAGGUUUAGUGUAAAAAAUUGCAUUGACAAUGUUGUAUUCAAGGUCCCUAACAAGUCAGUCAGAAUGCAUGAAUGUCAACUAUUUUCUUAAUUUAUUUAAAAAUUAAUUAGAUGGGGAGGGAAGAGGGGGGAGGGGAUGAGAGAGAGUGAGAAAGUAGGUACUUACAUGCCUUCAAUUGAAAUAGAAUACAUGGUCCUUUGGUUUUGUCUUUGAUGUUGAAGGGGCAGUAAAUUCAAAGCCCAGUUUCAGUGACUUGAGAGGCCAAAGAUAGAACCACUACCCCCUGUGCUCCCAUGGAUCUCCAAGUACCCCUCUCUCCCCCAGAAACUAUACACACACACACAUAUAUAUAUAUAUAUAUACUACACCUCUGUAUGUGUGAGAAAAUCCCUUUCUUUUUUU